UAAACCAGAGAGACCCGUGUUCAGAAGGCGU
rnacentral:piRNA from 1 species